rnacentral:rRNA from 1 species
AGCAGCCGCGGUAAUUCCAGCUCCAAUAGCGUAUAUUAAAGUUGUUGCAGUUAAAAAGCUCGUAGUUGAAUUUUAGGCCUGGCCGGGCGGUCCGUCUUUGGCGAGAACUGUCCUGUGUCGGGUCUUCCUUCUGGUGAACCAGUAUGUCCUUUAUUGGAUGUGCCGGGGAGCCAGGACCAUUACCUUGAAAAAAUUAGAGUGUUUAAAGCGGGCAUUUGCUUGAAUAGAUUAGCAUGGAAUAAUAGAAUAGGACGUUGUGGUUCUAUUUUGUUGGUUUCUAGGACCACCGUAAUGAUUAAUAGGGAUAGUUGGGGGCAUUAGUAUUCAAUUGUCAGAGGUGAAAUUCUUGGAUUUAUUGAAGACUAACUACUGCGAAAGCAUUUGCCAAGGAUGUUUUCAUUAAUCAAGAACGAAAGUUAGGGGAUCGAAGACGAUCAGAUACCGUCGUAGUCUUAACCAUAAACUAUGCCGACUAGGAAUCGGGCGACGUUAUUUUCAUGACUCGCUCGGCGCCUUAUGG